UAUAAACCACGUGCUGUUUUGUUUUUAUCUUUCUUUGUUAAAUGAUAAAAUUUGCUUACCAAUUUCAUUAUUUAGUUUUAUUGGUUAUAUAGCCUACUACAACUCUCCCAACAUAUCUAAAGCUCAUUUGACACAUUUCUUAAUACAUUGGAUUAGGUUUGAAUUCAAGUAUUAAACUCAAUAAGAGUUUUCGGUGGUGCCUUACCUUAGAUUUUGACUCUCUUGCCUAAUCAGUGAAUAUGUUUUUAAAAGUAUCCAGUUUUUUUUUUCUUUUUCAAAGUAUCUUAAAAAUUUAUUUGUAAACUUCAUUAAUGGGAUUAGAAGGUUAUUAUUAUAUAUUCUUUUUAUGGUAUACUAAAAAAUACACAGCAUAAUUUUCUUAACAAAUUUCAUAAAAAUGUAGGAAAGACGAACUCUUUAAACUUUAUGUUUAAGAAGUGGGUUCGACUCCGUUUCUAUAAAUAAAGAAUUAGGUUCGAUUUUUAAAUUACAAAUUAUAAAAGUUUCAAAAAAAGGGAAUAUAUCAUCUAUAAUUUUUUAUUAUAAUCUUAUAAUUAUCUAAUUAUAAUAAAAAAUUAUGUAAAGAUUUAUCACUUAUACAUGCUAAUUUAUAUAAAUUUUUGAUAAAUUUCAUAUAAUUUUAAAUCAAA
rnacentral:lncRNA from 1 species